AGUGAACGCUGGCGGCAGGCCUAACACAUGCAAGUCGAGCGGCAGCGCGUCCGACCACCCUCGGGUGGUCGGAUGGCGGCGAGCGGCGGACGGGUGAGGAAUGCAUCGGAAUCUGCCUCGUUGUGGGGGAUAACGUAGGGAAACUUACGCUAAUACCGCAUACGACCUACGGGUGAAAGUGGGGGACCUUCGGGCCUCACGCGAUGAGAUGAGCCGAUGCCGGAUUAGCUAGUUGGCGGGGUAAAGGCCCACCAAGGCGACGAUCCGUAGCUGGUCUGAGAGGAUGAUCAGCCACACUGGAACUGAGACACGGUCCAGACUCCUACGGGAGGCAGCAGUAGGGAAUAUUGGACAAUGGGGGCAACCCUGAUCCAGCCAUGCCGCGUGAGUGAAGAAGGCCCUCGGGUUGUAAAGCUCUUUUGUCCGGAAAGAAAGCAAUCGGUUAAUACCCGGUUGUCCUGACGGUACCGGAAGAAUAAGCACCGGCUAACUUCGUGCCAGCAGCCGAC
rnacentral:rRNA from 1 species